CGAGCUAGGCUAGUUCAGGCGUUGGAGCUACGCGAACUCGAACACACACCUAGCCGGAACCGACGGUGAUGUUGAUGGAGAUGAAGAUAAGCUUAACGAAGUAUGUGAUCGACGAAGCCAUGACGACGAACCACAUGUCCAACGAUUCAACCGGUGGCUGGAGAUGGAAGGACGCGGUGGUAGCAAGCUAGUGAGCAGAAGUUUGUUCGAUGAGCAAGUUGGUGGAGGACAUGCAAGAGGGAACCAGUCGGUGCCCACAAACUGAUCGACGAAAUGACCCUCAAUAGCUAUGCAGUCAUUGGCUGAGCAACACUCCUUUGCUACUCAAGUUCUGCACUGCAAGUCAGAGGCAGAUCAGCUAUGAGUCGAACACCUUGCAGGACUGCAUCAUCUCCCUCAACAAGAACACCACCUCCUGCAGCCUCUAGGGGAAAGAACUGCUAGUCUGCAAUGUCCACAUGCCCCUGGAGCUGAUAAUGAACAUGAUCAGUUUGGUUCAGAUAUAGCCAUGGAUGAAAAUGAACAUAUCAAUGCUGCUGCACUCAACACCGGAGGCCCUGUUGCAAGAAAUGGUCGAAAGGUAACAAUCAAUGAACAACUUCGCAAGAGAAGGGCAAAAGGAAAACAGAUUGAUAUCAAGUUCCCUCUACAAUUUGCAAAAGUGUGUGAAAAACAUGCUAGUUUAUUUAAAAGUGAGAUUUCAGUUAUUGUAAGAACUAUACCUCUUCGAGUGAAGAAGUGGAGGGAGAUGUAGACAUCCCAUCCUGGUACCAUUGAAGAUGUUUGGCGAAAACUGAAGGGAAAAUUUCCUGAGCUUUUAGAGGAACAUAAAGGUUAUGCCAUGAGACAAAUAGAGUCUCAAUACAAUAAUAAGCGUUACCGUCUACUUCAAGCCUACCGACAAAACAAACAAAGGCCAACACAUGUUGCACCAGAAGAGUGGAGAUGGCUGAUAACAAAUUUAUGGACGGAUCCUGACUUUCAGAAAAGGAGCAACCAGAACUCUCUGAAUAGAGGGAAACAAGAGAUGAGGUCGAAAGUAGGAACAAAAUCAAUUGCUCAAAUCGCUUACGAUUUGGUGAGAACAGUUCUUUUCUUUUUGACUGGUUUAUUUGUCAAAUAAAUAUCUACUACGGUUACUUAUAUGAAUUUUUGGAUGUCCUGUUGUGGUGUCUUGGUUAUGUUUUCAUGAUUUGGGUGGAAACAAGGAAGAUCCUGCCACUCGUGCAAAGCUGCUAUCCUGAUUAUUUAGUUGCUGCAGCUCAUAAUAAGAAGUUUAUCUUCCUUAGUAGUUCCUAAAGAUGUCUCAGUAACAAUGCCAAUAUGACAUGAACUUGGUUUAAUAAAUUCUGGUUGCGAAUGUUUACUGAAAUGUAAGGUGCAGCAAUUUUUCACCUUCUGCUAGAGUACUGUGUUGUCUUUUCUUUUCAGGGUGUGAGCAAGCAAGAAAGAUUCUUUACCUUGUAAACUUCAUUAGCUCAUCUUGGUCCUGUAUUCUGUUGAUAAAUUUAUGGAACAUGUCUGCUGCAUAUACAUAGAAAUGUUAGAAUCUCUUAGUUUUUCCUCGAUGAGUGAAGUAAAGCUCAACCAUUCGGUGGCCUUCUAUUAGAGGGACCCAAAAACUGGUGCAUGGCCUACUGCUAUGCAGGUUUGGAGGGCAACAUAUCAAAUGGCCGAUGGGACUUGGUCUGUUCCAAGUGGUGAAAAAACAUUGGUAUGCUUCUUCUGCUACUGUUUAUUGGAGUACUAGCUAUUGAUUUGGUUGCUGCUGCUACUGUAUUUGUGAUCUUUGUGUUGUGUAAAGUAUCCCAAAAUUCGGAUAUGCUCUUUGUUUUUUUUUUGAAAUGAUUGAUUUCUGCCUAUCAAUUUGGAUAUCAGGGCUUGCUUGUUUUAAUUUCUGUACAUGACUUUAAUUUCUACUGUUAUGUAGUUUCUCUUCCUAUAAUUGCAUACUGAACAAUGUGUAUUGUAUUGUUUUACAGGGCAAUGCGGAUAGCCAUAGGUAGUACUCACGAAGUUCAUGCAUCAAUUCGAUAUCCAAGAGACGUGUUGUGCAUAUUUAGUUUAGAGUUUAUUGAAUUUUCAUCGGUGGUUUUAGUCAUCAUUUGGAGCUUUUAAAAUACGUGUCUUGAGAGUUAUUUUGAGGGUUGUUAGUGUUACAGUCCAUUUUUCAAAUGGAUCAGUCUAUCUCAGCGUGAGACUUAUUUAUUAGAAGUCUGUUUUUCUACAACUUUAUGUAUCGUUUGAUUGCAAAAUUUGUUAUGGCACGUGGUGAAUAUUUGUAAGAAUGAUAUUAUCAUACAGUAUUUUUGUUAUGCU